AACGAACGCUGGCGGCAUGCCUAACACAUGCAAGUCGAACGAGACCUUCGGGUCUAGUGGCGCACGGGUGCGUAACGCGUGGGAACCUGCCCUUAGGUUCGGAAUAACUCCCCGAAAGGGGUGCUAAUACCGGAUAAUGUCUUCGGACCAAAGAUUUAUCGCCUUUGGAUGGGCCCGCGUUGGAUUAGCUAGUUGGUAGGGUAAAAGCCUACCAAGGCGACGAUCCAUAGCUGGUCUGAGAGGAUGAUCAGCCACACUGGGACUGAGACACGGCCCAGACCCCUACGGGAGGGAGCAGGGGGGAAUUUUGGAAAAUGGGCGAAGGCCUGACCCAGCAAGGCCGGGUGGGUGAUGAAGGCCUUGGGUUUGUAAAGCUUUUUUCCCCGGGAUGAAAAGGAAAGAACCGGGAAAAUAAGCCCCGGCUAACCCCGU
rnacentral:rRNA from 1 species